ensembl:lncRNA
GAUAGGAAUUUCUUCUGUUCAGCUACAAACUUCUUGAUAGCUGCAAUUUCACAUGACGCUGAACUCCCCACUGCAGUUACAUGUGUUCAGAAGUAGCUCUUCUGAGCUUGCUAUUUGCCAGGUCCAUCUGGUCCAGUUAGAAGAAGGGGCGAACAGCUAUUCCCUGGUUCUGUCCACAGUGCUUCUGCCUUUGUAGAACUGCAGAAUGUUCUUUGGUUUGUCUCUUGGCCAUGUUGAAGAUCCCAAGUCAAUUUAGUGAAAUCCACCUCUUGAGCAUCCUUAUUAUGCUGUUCUAUGCAGCUUCCUCUUCACUGUCUUUUUGUAAGCGGAGGAAUUGGAACUGCAUGUGGUGUUGAAAAGGCUGGCACAAUGUGGGUCUAUAAAAUAGUACAGUAAUCUGCUGGUUUGUUCCUUAUCCUUUCUGAAUACCUCCUAACACUUUUCUCUUGCUGCUAAGCAAAGGGCACGUAUAGUUCCUUGUAACAAGUCUCAGCAUCUGUUUUCUGAGUGAUAAUAGCUUGAGAUGGCUUUGAGUUUGCAUUUCCCCAUACACAGAGAAGCAAUUUUGCUGUUUUGUGAGUGUGCUAAAAUAGAGUGCUCUCCUACUCCACAUCUUUCAAUAUUUGCAUGUUUUUAUCUGUAGCACGCUGUGAAACACACUGAAUUCUACAAUGAUUGCUCUUGAGCCCAUAAGUGAUACACAACUUAAAAUCUUGUAACUUAAAUUAGAAAAAAGCUAAAGGUAUUAGAGGAAUGUGAACUAAUGUACCUUUUGCAGUUUCUGUUGUGCCUUUGUUGAUGUUAGCUCUGGAAUGUUUGACUGGGGGCAGGAUGUACCUGUGUGUGUGUGUGUGUGUGUGUGUGUGCAUUGGAAGACACAUUGAAUGCAAAGGAAAAAGAAGUAUUUGGUAUUGGAGAGAAGGAAUGAAACACAUUCUUCAAAGAAUUAACAGUCCAGUACUGUUUCACUGGCACUCUUAUAGCAGAGAAGCAGAAAGUAAAAGAGAGAAAGUUCAGAAAAGUUGUUUCAAGGCUUUCAACGUAUAUGUAUAUAUAUUAAAAAAAAACAAACAUUAAAUCAGAAGGUUCUCCAAGAGUGUCUGUUCUAUGACAGAUGUAGAACAGGAGACUUGUAUUGUUAUUACAAGGAGUGAUAUUUGCUGUAUGACUCGUCGCUGACCCCUCUAAUUGUAGCCAGCGUGUUCUGGAGCUUGCUUUUAAGCACUUAUUUGGAGAAGCCUAAAUUUUGUGUGCAUGUGGAAGAUAAUAUCAUACCAUCUUAAUAGGCGUUGUAGAAGCUGAAGGUAAGAAACCCACUGCAGCUGAGUCUCCUGGGUUUUUCAGUAGCUAAAAAGCCACAAAAUAGUGUUUUAACCAUAUGGUCAAGUUUAUUUUUCACUGCUUCAUCCAUGCAACUGUAUUUGACCCUCUUAUGGUCACUGGUUGCAGUACUGGGGAGGCUCAGGUCUCCAGCUGUGGCUUCAGAGGAGCUCUGCAGCAGUUGCAAUUGCUCUAGAAGCAAGGGCAGGGAGCUUGUAAGAGUUCUCACAAUCUGUGUUAUAGUGAGAAGUCAGACUUUCAGGUACAUGUGAUGAAGCCUGUAGUGUAAAUCCAAGUCAACAAACAUCUGCAAAUGUCUCUGGCAGGUGUUCCACAUAUUCCGAAAAAGAAAAAGCGAAUUUACAUUUUGCUUUCCUAGGCAUACCGUUUCUGUCUUCAUCCUACUGAGGCUGAUAACUGGGCUUUAUUUAUAGGAACUGCCUGUCAGACUCUGCUUUCUCCUUUCUGUGUAAAAAAAUUCACCCGGUCACGUAGCUGUGACUGGCUCUUGGUCAGCUGGGAUUUUAAGUAGGGGUGCAGAUCUGUGCUUGUCCUAGUCAUUAUUUCAUUUCCAUUUUAUGACGGAAAAGGAAAAUGCAUAAAGGUGUUUUUUUUCCUCUAAAAUGAGCCUGAAAAUGGGUAUUCCUUUUUCAGCAGUCUGCCAUCUGUAGUUAGAUAGCUCCACUGACAGAACUUGGGAAAUUUUACUACUCCAUUCAAUGAAUUAAUCCAUUUAUGAAAUUUAGAUAUGCCUCUGGCUUACAUGUGUAUUGUAAACACC